AUUGAACGCUGGCGGCAUGCUUUACACAUGCAAGUCGAACGGUAACAGGCCUUCGGGUGCUGACGAGUGGCGAACGGGUGAGUAAUGCAUCGGAACGUACCCAGAGGUGGGGGAUAACGCAGCGAAAGCUGUGCUAAUACCGCAUGUGAUCUGAGGAUGAAAGCGGGGGACCGAGCAGCAAUGUUUGGCCUCGCGCCUUUGGAGCGGCCGAUGUCGGAUUAGCUAGUUGGUGGGGUAAAGGCCUACCAAGGCGACGAUCCGUAGCUGGUCUGAGAGGACGACCAGCCACACUGGGACUGAGACACGGCCCAGACUCCUACGAGAGGCAGCAGUGGGGAAUUGUGGACAAUGGGCGCAAGCCUGAUCCAGCAAUGCCGCGUGCGGGAAGAAGGCCUUCGGGUUGUAAACCGCUUUUGGCAGGAACGAAACGGUGUCCGCUAAUACCGGGCGCUAAUGACGGUACCUGCAGAAUAAGCACCGGCUAACUACGUG
rnacentral:rRNA from 1 species